GUUCUUUUACGACGGAGCCUAAGAUAUUCUUUGUCUUGUCGGUACUAGAGUCACCGAAAGAGACAUCCUAUUAUAUGCACGUUCACAAGGACAAUGGCGCCAUUGUUCUUCGCGUCUUCAAAGCAGCUACAAGAAGAAACCAAGAUGGAGGGGAGCCCAAAGCAUCUGAGAGAAUUGAUAAAUGAAAGAAACAUGCUUAAAACAUGACCGUUUUAAAGGGUGUGUAUUGAAGCCUAGAUUUUUUCCCUUGUAAGCAUGCAAACAUACCGUUGUGAAGUAAGAAUCCGGGUUCCUGGAAAUGUAUUGUGAAGUAGUCCUGGCCAAACUACUCUGGCCUUUGCAAUUUGGAGUGACUGUUGUGAAUGCAUGGUGUACAAAUUGAUUGUACAAACAGUUGUGAGACAUACCGGGUCAGAACAGUGAUGAAAUACAUCCCGAAGAUGAUGACCUGAAGAUAAAUGCAGCUUCUGAGAGAAGACCAUUGUGUUUAAGUGGUAGUCUUGUUAAUGCAGUUCUUACUCAUAGCAUGUCAUGGUACCUCUUUCUGUAGUGAAUGCUGACCAGUGAGAUGCCAGCCUGCGUGUGAAGAUCCUACAGCAGAAGUGCAUGGCCAGUGACACAAGAACUUGCGAGAGAUGCCAGUCCGCCUGUGAAGAUCCUGCAGCAGGAGUGCAUGUGAGUGGUGCUCUGUUUUGUUUUCUGCUGAGCUUACUGUCGUUGGUCUAGUCUAUGAUGAUCCUAUCCCGAACCUGAAUUCCUGUUGAAAAACCAUACUUACGGAUCUGGCUUCUGAGAUGGACCAUUGCAAAGGACUAUUGUGUUCUUCUUUAAUGUUGGCAGUAACAUAAUGCCUGUGUUCUUAUUUUUAUAUUUUAGAGCCAGUGACACAAGACGUGCGAAUGAAAACUAGAUGUGACCAUCCAGAAAAAGCAUAGACAAAAAAAUGCAGUCUUAGUACUGGGAUGUUUGAGAUGGGGUCUAUCUACAUGUCUCUAGCUGUCCCUAUCAGGACAGCAUCUGGUGUGGCCUGCAGAGUUGAUUCCUGUACUUUUUUUUUUUUGUGGGCUGUAUGUAAAUGGAUUGUUUUGACAAUCCAUUCGACAGUGUUCUCUUCUGUGAAGGUCAUAGGUGAGCUGAUUGACAGACACAGCUGUACAGACUGAAUGCAAUCCUGACUAUAAAGCUGCAGUUCAUCAUUAUGAGCUAUUUCCUUAUUCUGGCAGUGAUUGAAAUAAAAUGGGGAGUAUUGAAAUAAAAAACAUUCAAUUGCAAA
rnacentral:lncRNA from 1 species